UACGUAGGGGGCUAGCGUUGUCCGGAAUCAUUGGGCGUAAAGCGCGCGUAGGCGGCCAGAUAAGUCCGGUGUGAAAGUCACAGGCUCAACCUGUGAAUGCCGCUGGAAACUGUCUGGCUAGAGUCCGGAAGGGGCGAGUGGAAUUCCUGGUGUAGCGGUGAAAUGCGCAGAUAUCAGGAGGAACACCGAUGGCGAAGGCAGGUCUCUGGGCCACUACUGACGCUGAGAAGCGAAAGCAUGGGGAGCGAACAGG
rnacentral:rRNA from 1 species